AGUGAACGCUGGCGGCGUGCCUCAUACAUGCAAGUCGAACGAAGUGGCGCACGGGUGAGUAAUAUAUAGUUAAUCUGCCCUACACAGAGGAACAACAGUUGGAAACGGCUGCUAAUACCUCAUAGUGUAGGAUGAGACUAUAUCGUAUCAGCUAGUUGGUAAGGUAAUGGCUUACCAAGGCUAUGACGAGUAACUGGUCUGAGAGGAUGAUCAGCAGCAUUGGACCUGAGACACGGUCCAAACUCCGGCGGGAAGCAGCAGUAAGGAAUAUUACGCAAUGGGGGAAAGCCUGACGCAGCAACGGCGCGUGGAGGAUGACACUUUUCGGAGCGUAAACGCCUUUUAUCAGGAAAGCGGUACCUGAUGAAUAAGCACCGGCUAACUCCGUGCCAGCAGCCGCGGUAAUAC
rnacentral:rRNA from 1 species